ensembl:lncRNA
CUGGGAUUGAAGAUUUAAAAUCCCCACCUCAAUCUUUCCUUCAAAAACUUUGGUAAGGUCUUUGUUGUUCAAUAACACUGUUGGCAUUGAGAUUCCUUUUCCUCUGGGGAAUAUUAAGUAGUAUUUAAAUUUACAUCAAAAUGAAUUUGAGCUUUUAACCAAGGACAGGAGACAUCUGAAUCACAAAGUUAACUAAGCCAUUCUCCUGCCUUGGAAUAUCUCACUGUCUAGUCCAGGGAGAUGGACAACCUAAAUAAGACAUUUGAAUCAACCUGGUAAAUUUCAUAUACUCCAUAUAUUGAAGGUAUAAAGGCAGAAGUCAGAAGUCAAGUUUAAGCUGUGCCUUGGACAGCCCCUAGCAAUGUUUCAGCUAUGUGCUAUCAAAGAAGAGCUGGAAUUUAGACCAAGACUUCUAACUCAUUAGUAGUAGAAGGCUUUAAUUCACCUGUCAGCAUGUCAUCAAGGACUAUUAAAGCAAGUAAGAAUUUAGGAUAUACUUCAGACAGAGGAAAUGGCUGUGUGGAUGAAGGAAGAGAGUGUGUACACACAUUAAAGAGUCAUGAUGAUCAUCAGCAAAGUGCGAAGCUUUGCAUCCAGGAACGUCAAGGGAUGUGUAAGUCACAGAGUAAUAAUCAUGCCACCCGCUUCUGAAGACUACAGUGCUGCUUUCUUGUCUUGGGUCUUUAGAGCAUCAGAUGCC